GGUCCUGUGGCUCAAAGGAGUAGGGUGCUGGCCUCAUGUACCAGAGGUGGCAGGUUCAAUCCCGCCCCCCACCA
rnacentral:tRNA from 1 species